rnacentral:rRNA from 1 species
CCUACGGGUGGCAGCAGUGAGGAAUAUUGGUCAAUGGGCGUAAGCCUGAACCAGCCAAGUCGCGUGAGGGAUGAAGGUUCUAUGGAUCGUAAACCUCUUUUAUAAGGGAAUAAAGUGUGGGACGUGUCCUAUUUUGUAUGUACCUUAUGAAUAAGGAUCGGCUAACUCCGUGCCAGCAGCCGCGGUAAUACGGAGGAUCCGAGCGUUAUCCGGAUUUAUUUGGAGUAAAGGGUUCGGAGGCGGCCUUUUAAGUCAGCUGCGAAAGUCUGUGGCUCAACCAUAGAAUUGCCGUUGACACUGGGGGGCUUGAGGAUGUUUGAGGCAGGCGGAAUGCGUGGUGUAGCGGUGAAAUGCUGAGAUAUCACGCAGAACCCCGAUUGCGAAGGCAGCCUGCCAAGCCAUGACUGACGCUGAUGCACGAAAGCGUGGGGAUCAAACAGGAUUAGAUACCCCUGUAGUC